rnacentral:rRNA from 1 species
UGGGGAAUAUUGCACAAUGGGCGAAAGCCUGAUGCAGCAACGCCGCGUGCGGGAUGACGGCCUUCGGGUUGUAAACCGCUUUCAGCAGGGGCGAAGGUUUUCUGACGGUACCUGCAGAAGAAGCACCGGCUAACUACGUGCCAGCAGCCGCGGUGAUACGUAGGGUGCGAGCGUUGUCCGGAAUUAUUGGGCGUAAAGAGCUUGUAGGCGGUCCGUUGCGUCGGAAGUGAAAACUCAGGGCUUAACCCUGAGCCUGCUUUCGAUACGGGCGGACUUGAGGGAUGUAGGGGAGAACGGAAUUCCUGGUGGAGCGGUGGAAUGCGCAGAUAUCAGGAGGAACACCAGUGGCGAAGGCGGUUCUCUGGACAUUUCCUGACGCUGAGAAGCGAAAGCGUGGGGAGCAAACAGGCUUAGAUACCCUGGUAGUCCACGCCGUAAACGGUGGGCACUAGGUGUGGGACCCAUUCCACGGGUUCCGUGCCGUAGCUAACGCAUUAAGUGCCCCGCCUGGGGAGUACGGCCGCAAGCUAAAACUCAAAUG